CCCCGAUCUGCAGAACAGGGUUCACAAUACAUAGAACCACAGCGCCCACAAAACAGCAUGUAUAUGCUAUCAGUAUGCAGAUUUUUAAAAAAGGAUGUAUGUAUAUAUAUAUAUAUAUAUGGACACACACUUCUGUGUUUCAGAAUGUAAAUUUGCCAUUUCUUUCACUUUCUUAUUCACUCAGGUUGCGGUUCUGUGGCCACCGUCCAUCCGCAGGUUUGUGUGGUCUGCAGCCAGCAGCCAGUCCAGGCCUUGCAAACCAGUUGUGUGGACUCUUCAGCCAAUCAGUGCAGUGACGUCAGGACCGCCCAACCCCGAGCCCGCUACCGCUGGUCAGCUCGGGAUGUGGACCAACAUCGGAAAUCAAUCGCGCACUGAAAUUGAAAUCAGAGGCAAACCCGGCGACACGGAUUUCUAAUUAAAACUGAGAAAACGGUAAGACUUCUGAGAGAGAAAAAAAACCACUCUGUUUUAACUAGGCUCUGAAGACGACGUGGCCUUCGCACACCCAAAUAUGUUUCUGCGGGUGAAAACCAAAAGAAAACGCAGAUAUGUACUUGUUUUUAAAUGUAACUGAAGGAAGGUGAAACCUUUCGCAGAUUAUUGCAGUGUGCGGAAAUGAAUCUCAUUGCGCAAACCAGACUCUGACGGGCAGAAAUGACACUGGCUGUGCGUCUAAGUGUGUCACAUGAACGUACCAUUUCCAGCCAGACCCUCUGGUCAGACUGCUGUCAUGAAGUGCGCACAAAAUCUCCUUCGCCACUUCCUCUUCCUCUUCUAGCCAAAGACUGAAAUAGAAUGGCAUGUAGCCCAUAGAACGCAUCAAAGCAACAGCAAAAAGCUACUUUAGCUAAAGCUGUUCCAAACGCGACAAAAACCUGUGCAUACAUACAGUGCCGUGAAAAGUAUUUCCCCGAUUCCUGAUUUCCUCUGUUAUUGCAUAUUUGUCUCCAUAAUAAUAAUAAUAAUAAUAAUAAUAAUAAAAUUUAUUUUAGUGAUAUAACGCUGUGGCAUUUGAUGAACCGGAUUCCUCUUUUAGUGUGCAGAUAAACGAAACAAAACUCAAAGACUCGCUCCCCCGGUCUCGGGCCCGGCCUGUGGAGAGGAACACACCUUUACGCACCUGGGCUGAUUAGUGAACGCCACCCAGGUGCGUGUGCUCUCUCCGCCAGCCGGCGUUGCCGAGACCAGUCCGGUUCACCGCCGGACCGAAUGCCAGAAUGCCACAAGCAGCUUUCCAGAGCCCACGGUCACUUAAAGUUAACAGGAUUUUUUUUAAAACAGUAAACACAGAAGAGAGUGAAGAAAUAAAGUAUAAAGUAUAUAAAGUAUGAAAAACAAACACACGAAGCGAGGCAAUAGUGAAGCUAAGGGUAACCUAUGCUGAAGACGUGGGUCUUGAGUAGGGAUUUUAAAAUUCGAACUCUGCUUCCACAACGAGGGGGGCAGCCACAGAGAAAACUCUGUCACCAAAUUUAUGGCAAUGGGUCUUCGGGAUGGUGAGUAGCAUGCCAGUGUUAGAGGAGCGGAGGGUGCGAGGGGAAGCGUACACUGUUGGUAGGCGAGUGAGGUAGGGAGGGGCCAGGUUAUUGAGAGCUUUGUAGAAAAGAAAUUUGAAUUUGAUACGUGCUUUGAUGGGAAGCCAGUGUAGUUUUUCUUUAAAGUGGGUGUGAUGUGUUGCCAGGAUACAGUGUGUGUUACUGUAGCAUUCUCGCUGCAGAGUUUUGGAUGUGUUGCAGUUCAGUCAGUAGGGUAUUAGGGAGGCCAUAGAGUCUGGAAAAGGGUACAAAGCCAUUUCUAAGGCUCUGGGACUCCACUGAACCACAGUGAGAGCCAUUAUCUCCAAAUGGAGAACACUUGGGACAGUGGUGAAUCUUCCCAGGAGUGGCUGGCAGUAAGUGGCAGUAAGACAAUGAUGCAAAACACAAAAACAAAUUCACAUCUGAAUGGCUGAAAAGAAACGAUAUUUAUGUUUUGGAGUGGCCUAGUGGAAGUCCUCACAUUAACCCAACAGACACUGUGGCAGGACCUGAAACUAGCACUUCAUGCUCAAAAACUUACCAGUGUGUCUGAAUUAAACUAAGUUCUGCAAAUUAGAGAGCGUUAAAAUUCCUCUGCAGUGGUGUGAAAGACAGAUCUAAUUACAUUGAGUGUUUGGUCGCAGUUAUUGAUGCUACCAGUUAUUCAUUUUAAGGGGGUAAUUACUUUUUCACAUGGGUGAUAACUUAUUUCAUUAUUACUUUUUCAUUAUUUUCAAAAUGUGUUUUUUGUUUACUCUGCUUCCCUUUGUCUAAUAAUACAUUUUGUUUAAAGAUCUGAAACCAUUAAAAGUGACAGAUAUGCAACAAUAGAAGAAAUCAAAAAGGGGGAAAAAAUACUUUUUCACGGCACUGUCCAAGAACACAUUCUUCUGCCACACAGAAAACCUCCAUCCCCAGAAGUAAAAAGGAUUUCACCAAAUUAACCCGACUUUUUGGCGAAGGUGCUGGAAAAGGUGAUGGUUAACUGGCACGUUUAACAAUGCAGUUACUACUCCGGGAAAAGAACACAGGGAACUAAUACAACGCAUCGUAUGUCGAGGCGUCAUCGCUGUGUAGAAAAACGCAUAGAUUGGGCAUGAAGUUAACGAUCAAGGGCAAGGGACUCCAAAUGGGCAGGGUUGGGGGUCUUGGGUCUGGAUUGGAGACCUUGGAAUGGACUCUCUCUCUCUCCACUGUGUCAGAUUCCUUAAAUUCAAAACCCCAGUUGAGGAAGCAGAUUGCCAUUGCGGGAAAAUCCAGUCUUAAUCGCGUAUUCACGUAGCCUGGUCUGAACUUUAUUCGCCCAAGGAAACGAAACUCCAGCAUAUGCACUAGAACUAACGGUGUGGCGUGGAUCAAAAGAGGGAAAAAACAUCAAUUGCGAAAAGUAGGCAAUUUCUUAUGUUGUUACUGCUUCGCUUAACAAUUGCGCUAAUAAAAAAACCGGUAUUUAGAAUAAGAGAUCUGACGGGGAUUGAUUUGCCAUGUCGGAUGCUACCCGGCUAACUCACACAAAAGUAACAGCGGCGGUCAUAUGGCAAUAAGGAAGUUUUUAGGUAGUUCGCAAGUUCGUAUUCAGGUUGUGUGUCAUUAUCAACACAGGAAUCUACACGUCGUUUUACAAUCGUACAUUAUGAAAGUAGCCUACACUAGUUUAAGGCUUUUAAAAUCGAUACCAAAGUCUCCUCUUAUGUCUUUUGUUUGAAUACAAAUGGAAGGGUUUUUUGUUUGUUUGUUUUUUUGCCGUAUGCCAAAUUCUUGCCAGUGUAGAACAUUAAUCUAAUGGCAGAAUUUGCGCAUGAUCAACCACAAUAAACCAACACACGGAUAUUUGCAUUUGUGUAUAACACACUUCUAUAAAUGACUAGGUACGUCUGCAAAAGAAAAAAGAAAAAGCUAACAUAAUCAUACGUAACGGUCAUGCAUAUUCCUACCUGUCCAGUGUUUCACGCCCAGAUUUUUCAACGCAUCCAAGUAAUUUCACCUUCCAACUUUAAAGCGUCCUUUUCUGCAUUAGUUCUGUCAUAAGUGUGGCGAAAACUGAGAGCUGAAACAUUCACCGCUCAAA